rnacentral:snoRNA from 1 species
AGCACCUAUGUGUUUUUGUUCAGCUGGUGNACAAAAGCAGGUUAGACAGGUGCAAAAAUAAAUCCUCUUUUGCAAAUCUGAACUCAUUGUUCAGUGUGAGUUUUGAUNCAUNUNAGAGGGAAUAUN